ACAUGGAACACUGGGUAGAUUGACUAGAUGUUGCCUGCAAGCUAUCUAUAAUUAUGAUUUCACACGCUUUGGAUUGUAUGCCUUGGAGGGUAUGUCUCCAAGGUAGCCUCAGGACAGUCCUAUAAGCCAGGAAAAUUCACCUGGAUGGCUAAGAAGAUUGGAACACAAUGCAGACAACAAUUUCUGUGAACCGCCCUGAGACCUGCGGGGACCACCCUAGAGCUGGAACUGGAAAACAGCUUCCCAGAGGAGGAGGACCUUGCUUUCAGCCUCAUAAGAACAUAAGAAGAGCCUGCUGAAUCUGGCCAAUGGCCCGUCUAGUCCAGCCUCCUGUCCUCACAGCGGCCAACCAGAUGCUUCUGGAAGCAUGCAAGAGGAACACAAGCAGUGUCUUCAGUUUUAAGAUGGGAGUGGGAAACCUCCAGCCCAUGAGGUCUGUAUUGUAGCUCUCAGUUUGAGUAAAUGGCAGUUCAGGUUUUCUCCAGAUUGACGUUUGCUCUGAUUGAGCACUAAAGAACGGGUUUUCCAUGGGAAAGGAGUCUCAUGGAUCCUCCAUGCUUUCUAGGUGGGGAAAGCGGAACUGUGGAUGAGACCCCAGUCUCUCUUUCUCAGCCUACUCCAAACUCACAGGUGGGAAGAACAAUGUAGUCAACAGGAGCUUUUUUUGGAGGAAAGUGGAAUUAAAAAAAUACAAUAGCCUUGGAUUAGUUUUUUGUAGCUUAGCAAGUGCCAGAUAUUUUGGACUCGCAUCUGUCCCAGCCCGCGGAGUUAAUGAUCAGGGAGGAUGGCAUCUGUAAUCCAAAAACAUCUGGGGAAAACCAGGUUAGGAAAGGCUGCCUUAGAUGAGCAGAGCUUUCCUCGCCUCCUGACACCCCUGCCCCCAAUUCCUGGAACUACUAAUCUAUGAUCCCCAAGGACCCAGGCUUUGAAAAACCUUAUUUCAAGAGUCGGCAACUUUGUACGUGUGUUAUCGCGGAAAUAAUGCAUAUGCAUUCCUUGCUGAUGAAUUGGUCUCUGAAGGUUGCGAUAAUCAUGAUAUAUUAUGAGUAUGCUCUGCGCCUUGAAAAAGAACCUUGCUUGGGAUCUGGGAGACCUGAACCCCACACUUUUCCUUCCCAGGCUCGUCUCAUGUUUCCUUCCCACCUGCCUUGGCUCUCUCUGUGUGUGCAGGUGUAGGAUUGCCUCGCAUUAAAAGCUGCAUAGGCCCAUUUAUAAUGGGGCUACCUUGCUCUUCAAAGCUAAGCAGCUGCUUUUUCUCUCCCCCCUCCACUUUUUUUUUGCUUGCAGUAAUGGCUAGAGAAACUUGAGAAAGGCGCAGAUGCUUUGCUCAUUUGUUUUGGCUCUUGCAGCGAAAUUGUCUAACAAUUGGAGAGGGCCAAGCAGAGGUUAGGCGUAAUGGCGCAGAGGGGACAGGAUGAUUUAUCCGCAAAGUCAGCGCCGGGCAGAGGGAUAGCUUUAUCUCUGCAAGGCCCCACAGCUGGCUGAUGGAGAGUUGCUCUUGUAGUCCCUGAUAAGCAUGCACACACGGCCUGCAUAAUUCUUUGGGAAAGCUCCUUUGUGGCUGAGCAGCCGAUUUCUGCAAACUUUCUGCAUGAGUAAGAUAAAAGAUAAUGAGACUCCAUACAUUUCCUGGCAGGGUUUCCUUCCCAAAUGGCCCCCUGUAACCUCCACAUUGGAAACAGAUUAGAGGUCUUAAUAUUCCCCCUUAUCACAAGCAACACCCUGGGGGGAAAGUUGUGCCGGUCUCCCUGCUGCUGCUGCCGCCGCUGCCACCACCAUUUGAGAUUUGCUUGUAAGUGUGCACAGAGCUGCUUUAGGGAUGCAAACUUUGUGUUGGUCGUGCAUUCUACUGGGUAGUGUGGAAAACUGAGUCCUUAGACACAAAGUUAAAACAAAAGAACAAGAAGCCCCUGAGCAUACUCUCAUCCAGAAAAAGGACUGAACUGAGCUUGCAGUCAUUUCACAGAAAAGGUCACUCCUGGUUGGCCUUCCACAUCUCAGUAGCC